UCAUAGACGCGAAACCUAGUGAUCUAGGCCUGUCCAGGCUGAAGCUGAGGUAAGACUCAGUGGAGGGCCGAACUCACCGCCGUUGAAAAGUUGGGAGAUGAGAUAGGUCUAGGGGUGAAAAGCCAAUCGAACUAGGAGAUAGCUCGUUCUCUCCGAAAUGCAUUUAGGUGCAGCCUUGGUUGAAGAUAUGCGGGGGUAGAGCACUGUAUGGCCUAGGGGGCGUAUAGCUUACCGAAGUCAAGCAAACUGCGAAUACCGUAUAUUGUUUACCAGGAGUGAGUCUACGGAUGACAAGGUCCGUGGACGAGAGGGGAACAGCCCAGACCGCCAGCUAAGGUCCCAAAUUAUGUCUAAGUGGGAAAGGAGGUGGAUAUUCACAGACAACCAGGAGGUUGGCUUAGAAGCAGCCAUACCUUGAAAGAGUGCGUAAUAGCUCACUGGUCGAGAGUAUCUGCGCCGAAGAUAUAACGGGGCUAAGACAUGAACCGAAGCCGCGGAAGCGUGAUAACACGUUUGGUAGGAGAGCGUUCUGUAGGCCGUAGAAGGUGUCCUGUAAGGGAUGUUGGAGGUAUCAGAAGUGAGAAUGCAGGAAUGAGUAGCGAGAAGGAGGGCGAGAAUCCCUCCGGCCGGAAGUCCAAGGUUUCCAGGGGAAGGUUUGUCCGCCCUGGGGGAGUCGGGACCUAAGCAUAAGCAGAGCUGCGAAGGCGAAUGGAAAACAGGUUAAUAUUCCUGUACCGCUGUGUACUGACUGAGAGAUGGAGUGACGCAGGAAGGUAUGCGGGAAGGCUGACGGAAUAGCCUUUCUAAGGGUGAAGCGUGGACAUAUAGGCAAAUCCGUAUGUUUAAACGUGAGGCCUGACGGGUAAGUGCCAUAUGGCAUAAGCCGCAGAUCCUACACUGCCGGGAAAAACUUCUAUUUAGGGAAGCAGCGCCCGUACUGUAAACCGACACAGGUGGACAGAGUGAGAAACUUAAGGCCGACAGGACAACUCUGGCUAAGGAACUCUGCAAAAUGGCCCCGUAACUUAGGGAGAAGGGGUGCCCGUGCUACCUGAAGGGGGAGACACCCGGAGGGGAAGCGGGCCGCAGUGAAGAGUCCCAAGCAACUGUUUACCAAAAACACAGGUCUAUGCUAAGCCGGAAGGCGACGUAUAUGGGCUGACACCUGCCCAGUGCCGGAAGGUUAAGAGGAGGAUUGAGAGAUCCGAAUUGAAGCCCCGGUGAACGGCGGCCGUAACUAUAACGGUCCUAAGGUAGCGAAAUUCCUUGUCGGGUAAGUUCCGACCUGCACGAAUGGUGAAAUGAUUUGGGAGCUGUCUUGGCCGGAGACCUGGUGAAGUUGUAAUGCCGGUGAAGAUACCGGUUACCUGCAGUAGGACGGAAAGACCCCGUGGAGCUUUACUGUAGCCUGGCAUUGGGUUUCGGCAAUGUGUGUAUAGGAUAGCUGGGAGGCUAAGAAGAUAUGGUGUCAGCUGUAUUGGAGCCGCUGUUGGAAUACCAGCCACGCAUUGUUGGGAUUCUAAUCUCAAGAGAUGGGAGACAGUGCUAGGUGGGCAGUUUGACUGGGGCGGUCGCCUCCAAAAGAGUAACGGAGGCGUUCAAAGGUUCCCUCAGGCUGGAUGGAAAUCAGCCGGAGAGUGCAAACGCAUAAGGGAGCUUGACUGCGAGACUGACGGGUCGAGCAGGCACGAAAGUGGGAGUUAGUGAUCCGGCGGUUCUGAAUGGAAAGGCCGUCGCUCAACGGAUAAAAGCUACCCCGGGGAUAACAGGCUGAUACUUCCCAAGAGUCCAUAUCGACGGAAGUGUUUGGCACCUCGAUGUCGGCUCGUCUCAUCCUGGGGCUGGAGAAGGUCCCAAGGGUUGGGCUGUUCGCCCAUUAAAGAGGCACGCGAGCUGGGUUCAGAACGUCGUGAGACAGUUCGGUCCCUAUCCACUGCAGGCG
rnacentral:rRNA from 1 species